rnacentral:rRNA from 1 species
GAUAAACGCUGGCGGCGUGCCUAAUACAUGCAAGUCGAGCGAACGGACGAGAAGCUUGCUUCUCUGAUGUUAGCGGCGGACGGGUGAGUAACACGUGGAUAACCUACCUAUAAGACUGGGAUAACUUCGGGAAACCGGAUCUAAUACCGGAUGAUAUUUUGAACCGCAUGGUUCAAAAGUGAAAUACGUUCUUGCUGUCACUUAUAGAUUGAUCCGCGCUGCAUUAGCUAGUUGGUAAGGUAACGGCUUACCAAGGCAACGAUGCAUAGCCGACAUGAGAGGGUGAUCGGACACACGGGAAGGGAGACAGGGACAAGAGGACUACGGGAGGAAGCAGUAGGGAAUAGUCCGCAAUGGGCGAAAGAAUGACGGAGCAAAGCCGAGUGAGUGAUGAAGGUCUUAGGAUCGUAAAACUCUGUUAUUAGGGAAGAACAUAUGUGUAAGUAACUGUGAACAGCUUGGCGGUAACUAAUCAGAAAGCAACGGCUAACUACGUG